rnacentral:lncRNA from 1 species
CAUCUAUCAAUAUAUCUCUCAGAGAACUCAUAUAUGACAUUAUAUACCUUCCAGGCUUACAUGAUUGUGGGAUCAUCAUGUUCGAUCCAAGUGAUGAUUUCUUAAACCUCAGAAUCUCACUUUAAUAGUUAUCAAGAUGACAUAUUUAUUAUAUGUACACUUUCAUACUCUCUCAAUUAUAUUUUUGAUUUUAAUAAGUGCAC